ACACAGGGAUUGCCCUAGUAACGGCGAGUGAACAGGCAAGAGCUCAGAUUUGAAAGGCACUUUUGUGCCGUUGUAUUCUGAAGUUAGGGUCCUGAGAAACGAUGCUUAAGUCUUCUGGAAAGGAGCGCCAUGGAGGGUGAUAGCCCCGUCUAGCAUUGACCUCAUAUAGGAUCUUAACAUGGAGUCGAGUUGUUUGGGAAUGCAGCUCAAAUGGGUGGUAUGCUCCAUCUAAAGCUAAAUAUCUGCGAGAGACCGAUAGUAAACAAGUACUGUGAGGGAAAGAUGAAAAGAACUUUGAAAAGAGAGUGAAAAAGUACGUGAAAUUGUUGAAAUGGAAGGGUAGGCCGCUAACCAUGUAGAGCCGUGUUUGGGGGGAAGAUAAAUGCUGUAGAAUGUAGCUCCUCGGAGUAUUAUAGAUGCAGUUCAUAUUCCCACCCGAGCGCGAGGAUCUCAGGUUCUACUAAAUGGUGGUCUACCACCCGUCUGAAACACGGACCAAUA
rnacentral:rRNA from 1 species